rnacentral:rRNA from 1 species
CACCGCCCGUCACAUCACGAAAGCCAGUUGUACUAGAAGCCGGCAAUUCAACCGCAAGGAGAUAGCCGUCCAAGGUAUGACUGGUGAUUGGGGUGAAGUCGUAACCAAGGUACC